UUUGAAUCUGAUUCAAGCUCUCUAAGUGGAAGUAUAUGCUUCCUACCUGAGAGAGAAUCGGGUUCAAAUCUUGCGGGGACCUUCUCAUGUGCUUAUUAGGUACUUGGACCUUGGGAUCUUCUACAAUUCGCACCAUUGGAACAUGAGGUCCAAAGAUGACAGACUUCCAGCAACCAAUGUUUUGCUGUGCUAGGACAUGGCCUAUCCUACGUUGCCAAAUAUUGUAUUCAGAUCUAACAAGCAUAGGUGGCUUGUACAGUGUGCCGGUGUUGUGAGGAUCUUGUGAUUGUGAAGACAUUUUGGUUGUUUUACAAAGUUUUUGAUUAAUCAAAUUUGAAUGUGAUUAGGCUUAUACUCUAUUUUUCAACAAAUACAAACAACAUAGUAUCAAUGAAAUU
rnacentral:lncRNA from 1 species